rnacentral:lncRNA from 1 species
GUGCACAGAGAGCUUCGGUAGCCUGCGAAGCAGCCAUCUUCACUUCCACGGAGCAGAUGCUGGCCUGGGUGCUGGAAUGUGGAAAUGAGGAAGAUCCUGCCUGAGGAUUUCAUGACAGUGCUGCGAUUACAGACAUGAGCCACUGUGCCCAGCCUCACUUUAAAAAAAAAAAAAAAAGGUUAUGAAGCAUCUCAACACAAGACCUCCUUUGCUCAUCACAACCACCCAGUGAAGCAGGCAAGACAACAGAAACUCCCCACCUGUGAUAGAUGUGAGGCCUGAAGUCUCCCACGUACCCACGGCAGAUGCAACGCACAGCGGUGACCAAUGAUGAAGGAUCUAAAACCUGAAAAGAGGCCAAAUGAUUCCUCAAAACCAUGCAAGUACGAAGUAGCAGAGCAGAUCUCAAAUCCAGGUUGGUUUCCUUUUUACAACUGCCCAAGUCAUGAGUUCAUAGGGCCUGGAUGGCUGUACCGGAUUGCUCUCCAGCUGGUCUCUCUGCAUCCAGAAAUUUCUACAACCUACUGGGAAGCAAACAGCAUGCUGGAGACCCUCAAAUACAUGUGAAAUGAAGG